UUCCUUAGUUAGCCUGGUAAAUAGACCAAAAAAAAAAGGAAACAAGACAUCAUUGUACAGGUCUGGGCUGCCUUCUUGUCCAAUAUGUAAACUCUUGUUUGGCUGGAGAUUAUCCUGGCUGGGAAGUAACUUGUGAUGAAGGAUUUUCUACCAUUUACUGGGGGAAAAAAAAAAAAAGUUGAUAAGCUGUCGCUAAAGCAUUUCUACGCAGAAAUGAAACAAUUACAGUGAUUUUUCCUCUUUUGCUGCUUCUCAGGAGUCAUGAGGCCUCUCCCAAUGACUCAGUGACAUUCUCUCCUCACUAGGUGUUCCAACAGUACCUGCCAUUCCCAAAGAAGAGAUCUGCUGACAGACAUCCCUGCCUUUGUGUGCUGUGAGCUUCGUGCCACUGCAGUUAAUGCCAGCUGAGGAUUAAACCUGGAGAGCUGUAGUUUUCCAACUUCCAUAAUCCCACUGCUGUUAAAGAAAAGGUUCAGGAAUCAAGCUGUCACUUUAGGUUUCCACAGCUGUAGAUAGAAGUGUGUCCAUGAAUAUCAGUUCUAUACUGGAUUUCCAGAACUACCCUCCUGGGCUUUUGGAAUCUGUUCUCGAUGGAUUGUUUGCAAAACUAGGAAAUAAGAAGUUUUUUUUUAUAAUGCAGAGAGUAAUCAUUUUAUAUUUCUGAUUUUAUUUAAAUUUGUACACGUGCCUAACAAAAUAAGUUGCAAUGUAUUUUUCAUGAUGUGAAAGCUAAAAGAGAUUUAUAGUUUCAAACAAAUAAUGUAGUAGAGAGUAAACAAUAUGUAGCCAAAAUAAGUAUUUCCUGCAGUUUCUCACAUGGAUUUAUUAACCAUAAAACUCGUUGUAUUCCAGGCAAAUGGUUUAGUUUAGAAUAGAUAAAUCUUUAAAACCACAGCACUGCAACUGUUGGGAAGUCACCACGGCCCUGCCUUUGGUAGCUAAUUAAAAUGAACCAAAGGUUUUAUACUAGACUGACCAGUAAUGUUCAUAUCUCUCCUUCAAAAAUAAGACUAAAAAAACUCCUUGGAAUAUGAAAUAUUUAAAGAGCUUUCUUCUUCAUAUGAGUAGUGUUAGUGUGAAUCUAAUGGCUACUCACCAAAAGGUAGGUAUGUAAGGAGAAGAGGAAAUCAUACUUACAAGGGCACUGUACCCAUAAUCCUUCCAGUUGAAUGUGGCUUUCAAGAACAUCUCUGACUAACUUUGAGCUCUGUUAUUCUGCAGAAAUGUGAACAACUGGUUGUCCUGUCAGGCUUUCUGAUUUGGAAAGUUAUCAAAGGUAUUCAGCAUUGGAAAAUGUAUCUUAUUAUCAAAAAAUCCCACCAUGCGCUUGUUUUUGCGUCUUAUAGUAAUGUGCAGUUCUUCCCUACCUUCCUGAAUGGCUGUCCUUGAUCUUGUAGUACUAAAUAAUAUUAAAAAAUCUGCUUUUUCAUCUUUUAUCUGAGUACAGAAGACACUUGGCUACCGAGAUGAAGCCUAAAACAGAAGCACACCAGAGUACAGCAGUGCUCAGUGUCCUUCCUGCAGCCAGAGGUAUCCCCAAGC
rnacentral:lncRNA from 1 species